GACGAACGCUGGCGGCGUGCCUAAUACAUGCAAGUAGAACGCACAGGUUAUGCAUUUGUUUGCUGCACGAGAGACGGUGAGGUGCGAACGACGUGGGAACACUGAGCUUACCUGCGGGGUAACUUCAGGGAACUGUGGUAAACAAUAGCUAGUACCUCAUAAUACUUAGUAUUGCAUGGUAAUUUAUGGAAAUUUGCAAUUGAACCACGACCUGACGGACCUUCGGUGUGUUAGUUAGUAGGUGAGGUAACGGCUCACCUAGGCGACGAUACAUAGCCGACCUGAGAGGGUGAUCGGCCACACUGGGACGGAGACACGGCCCAGACUCCUACGGGAGGCAGCAGUAGGGAAUCUUCGGCAAUGGACGAAAGUCUGACCGAGCAACGCCGCGUGAGUGAAGAAGGUUUUCGGAUCGUAAAGCUCUGUUGUAAGAGAAGAACGGGUGUGAGAGUGGAAAGUUCACCAAGUGACGGUAACUUACCAGAAAGGGACGGCUAACUACGUG
rnacentral:rRNA from 1 species